rnacentral:rRNA from 1 species
UACGGAGGGUGCAAACGUUGCUCGGAAUCAUUGGGCGUAAAGCGAACGUAGGCGGCUUUGUAAGUCGGGUGUGAAAGCCCUCGGCUCAACUGGGGAGGGUCACGCGAUACUGAUCGACUCGAAGGCAGGAGAGGGUAGUGGAAUUCCCGGUGUAGUGGUGAAAUGCGUAGAUAUCGGGAGGAACACCAGUGGCGAAGGCGACUACCUGGCCUGUUCUUGACGCUGAGGCGCGAAAGCUAGGGGAGCAAACGGG